rnacentral:rRNA from 1 species
AUACGUAGGGUCCGAGCGUUGUCCGGAAUUACUGGGCGUAAAGAGCUCGUAGGUGGUUUGUCGCGUUGUCCGUGAAAACUCACAGCUUAACUGUGGGCGUGCGGGCGAUACGGGCAGACUAGAGUACUGCAGGGGAGACUGGAAUUCCUGGUGUAGCGGUGGAAUGCGCAGAUAUCAGGAGGAACACCGGUGGCGGAGGCGGGUCUCUGGGCAGUAACUGACGCUGAGGAGCGAAAGCGUGGGGAGCGAACAGGAUUAGAUACCCUGGUAGUCCACGCCGUAAACGGUGGGUACUAGGUGUGGGUUCUUUCCUGAGGAUCCGUGCCGUAGCUAACGCAUUAAGUACCCCGCCUGGGGAGUACGGCCGCAAGGCUAAA